rnacentral:tRNA from 1 species
UGCCCGAUGGUGUAAUGGGUAACACGUCUGCCUCUGGAGCAGGAGUCUCAUGGUUCGAGCCCAUGUCGGGCAG